UAGGGAAUAUUGGACAAUGGGUGCGAGCCUGAUCCAGCCAUGCCGCGUGCAGGAAGACGGCCUUCUGGGUUGUAAACUGCUUUUGCCAGGGGAUAAAAAGUCCCUGCGGGGAAAAUUGAAGGUACCUGGUGAAUAAGCCACGGCUAACUACGUGCCAGCAGCCGCGGUAAUACGUAGGUGGCAAGCGUUGUCCGGAUUUAUUGGGUUUAAAGGGUGCGUAGGUUGUGUUGUAAGUCAGUGGUGAAAUCCGGCAGCUUAACUGUCGAUGUGCCAUUGAUACUGCAGCACUUGAGUACAGACGAGGUAGGCGGAAUUGACGGUGUAGCGGUGAAAUGCUUAGAUAUCGUCAAGAACACCGAUGGCGAAGGCAGCUCCCUGGGUUGACACUGACGCUCAUGCACG
rnacentral:rRNA from 1 species